rnacentral:misc_RNA from 1 species
UGUGAGGGAUGAGCAUUUCAAGACGAAGAAGCACAGGAAGCGUGUGAAAAUAAUGAUGGGCCCUCGACCGCACACCCAACUUGAUGCCGACUUAGCUGCUGGAAUGGGCAUGCCAGAUAAUGGUCCAAAGCUAAUGUCAAUGAGUUAGAGCUUCCCCCCUCCUGUUUACAACUCAUUUGACACUGGUAGAGGAACCGUCUCUCCGUCUCUCUCUGUCUCCCAGUAUAGUAAGUUUAGAAGAUACCUAGCAGAGCACAUUACCUUGGUGUUUCUUGUUUGGCCUAGAUUCGCUGAGAUGAUGCUAGCUAGGGACUACCUAUGUUUUGUUUCUACUGUAUCAAAACACAGAUUGCUUAAAGAAUCGCCGUCUUUGAAUCUAUAUGUCAAUUUAUUCAAUUUGGAUUCGAUAGCUAAACGCUGAAAGAGCAGUAAUUCGUUCAGUUUUCGUUGAACUGGAAUAGUGCUUGAUCCAUCUUACAAGAUGUAUCCUAUCUAAAUUUG